UACGUAGGGCGCAAGCGUUGUCCGGAAUUAUUGGGCGUAAAGAGCUCGUAGGCGGUUUGUCGCGUCUGCUGUGAAAACCUAAGGCUCAACCUUGGGCUUGCAGUGGGUACGGGCAGACUAGAGUGCGGUAGGGGUGACUGGAAUUCCUGGUGUAGCGGUGGAAUGCGCAGAUAUCAGGAGGAACACCGAUGGCGAAGGCAGGUCACUGGGCCGCAACUGACGCUGAGGAGCGAAGGCAUGGGGAGCGAACAGG
rnacentral:rRNA from 1 species